GUGACAAACUGUAGUUGACAUUUCACAUCUUCCUUUGAUGAAAAUACUUCUCUGUGCCACUGUACCAUGAAGCUGUCAUGGCUGGUGAUGCUAAAUUCAAAG